UGUUUAAUAAAUAUUAUGAACGGAAUCGAUUAGAAAUCAUUUGGGAAUAACAUAUUCAUUAAUAUUUUUAUUUGGGAAAGUCGCAUUUUUGUAAUUUAAAUAAAUUUGUGUAUUCAAAAAUAUGCAUUAUGCGUUAUGCACGCGGCAUAAAGGAUUCAACCAAUCAGAGUCCUUUAUUUCUAAAAUGAAAGACUCAAUAAAAUAUUUUCAUGUGCGCUGGUCCUUAAGAGCAAGCAAAAUGAACAAGAUUCAACUCUAUAAUAUUAUAUUACGUAUGACGUCGUCGGAUUAUUAAUUUUUAGAUUUAUCCAUCAGAAUUUGGUCAGAAGCGAAUGAAGGAGGAAGAGAUCAGUGGGCCAAUAGAACUAAGAAGUGAAGAUGUUAACAAUGAAGGAGAAAUUGGGGAUGAUAAUGAAGAAGGUGCAACAUAUCAUAUGGAGAAUGGUUGAUCUCCUUGAGUAUCCAAAAAUAGAUUAUCAUCAAUGAGCUCAAACAUAUCUUUGCUUUCUAAAUUCAAUAAUUUGGAAAAAAAUGGAUUUUGUAAAUCUUUAGUCAAAAAUUGAAAAUAAUUAAUGAAAUUUUAUAAAUAAUCAUAUUCUGUGUGGACGAUUUUAACAUUAUGUCUAGGAGCGAUUUAAUGAAGUAAAAACAAGCGUGAACUCGACUCAUGUGAUCUCGACAACGUUCCCUGCCGAAAAUGGUCGAUUAAAACCGAUUAAAACAUAAUCCGUUUUAAUCGGUUUUAAUCGGUUUUAAUCGGUUCAAUCCGCGCUCGGAUUAAAAAGUAAUCGAUUUUAAUUCCGA